GACGAACGCUGGCGGCGUGCCUAAUACAUGCAAGUUGAGCGAUGAAGAUUGGUGCUUGCACCAAUUUGAAGAGCAGCGAACGGGUGAGUAACGCGUGGGGAAUCUGCCUUUGAGCGGGGGACAACAUUUGGAAACGAAUGCUAAUACCGCAUAACAACUUUAAACAUAAGUUUUAAGUUUGAAAGAUGCAAUUGCAUCACUCAAAGAUGAUCCCGCGUUGUAUUAGCUAGUUGGUGAGGUAAAGGCUCACCAAGGCGAUGAUACAUAGCCGACCUGAGAGGGUGAUCGGCCACAAUGGGACGGAGACACGGCCCAAACUCCUACAGGAGGCAGCAGUAGGGAAUCUUCGGCAAUGGACGAAAGUCUGACCGAGCAACGCCGCGUGAGUGAAGAAGGUUUUCGGGUCGUAAAACUCUGUUGGUAGAGAAGAACGUGGGUGAGAGUGGAAAGCUCAUCAAGUGACGGUAACUACCCAGAAAGCGACGGCUAACUACGUG
rnacentral:rRNA from 1 species